rnacentral:rRNA from 1 species
GUACCCUAUUUUUUAUUAUUUAACCAAAUGAAUUCAGUAUAAAAUAUUGUAACAUAGACCUAAAAAAUCUAUAAAACAACUUUUAACAACGGAUCUCUUGGUUCUCGCAUCGAUGAAGAACGUAGCAAAGUGCGAUAACUAGUGUGAAUUG